ACGGAGGGUGCAAGCGUUAUCCGGAUUCACUGGGUUUAAAGGGUGCGUAGGUGGGCUAGUAAGUCCGUGGUGAAAUCUCCAAGCCUAACUUGGAAACUGCCGUGGAUACUAUUAGUCUUGAAUAUUGUGGAGGUAAGCGGAAUAUGUCAUGUAGCGGUGAAAUGCUUAGAUAAGACAUAGAACACCGAUAGCGAAGGCAGCUUGCUACACAAUUAUUGACACUGAGGCACGAAAGCGUGGGGAUCAAACAGGA
rnacentral:rRNA from 1 species